GUAAGAAUCCGCAAGCGGACGCAGCACGCCGCGUGGGUGACGAAGGCCUUCGGGUCGUAAAGCCCUGUCAGGUGGGAAGAACGGCCAGGGGGAUUAAUACCCUUUUGGAGUGACGGUACCACCACGAGGAAGCACCGGCAUAACUCCGUGCCAGCAGCCGCGGUAAUA
rnacentral:rRNA from 1 species